AGUUGCCUACGGGAGGCAGCAGUAGGGAAUUUUCGUCAAUGGGCGCAAGCCUGAACGAGCACUGCCACGUGCACGCGGCAGGUCUUCGGAUCGUAAAGUUCUGUUGAAGGGGAAAAAGAGCGGAGAGAGGAAAUGAACUCCGAUUGAUAUUACCCUUCGAGGAAGUCACGGCUAACUACGUGCCAGCAGCCGCGGUAAUACGUAGGUGGCGAGCGUUAUCCAGAAUGAUUGGGCGUAAAGGGUGCGUAGGCGGCCUGCUAAGUCUGGAGUGAAAGGUACCGGCUCAACCGGUACAGGCUCUGGAA
rnacentral:rRNA from 1 species